UACAGAGGUCCCGAGCGUUGUUCGGAUUCAUUGGGCGUAAAGGGCGCGUAGGUGGUCUGGUAAGUCGGAUGUGAAAUCCUAAAGCUUAACUUUGGAACUGCAUCGGAAACUACUAGGCUAGAGUCUAGGAGGGGGGAGUGGAAUUCUUGGUGUAGCAGUGAAAUGCGUAGAUAUCAAGAGGAACACCGGUGGCGAAAGCGACUCCCUGGACUGGUACUGACACUGAGGCGCGAAAGCUAGGGGAG
rnacentral:rRNA from 1 species